AUUCUCUCUCUAUUCUUUGUUCUUUCUGUUCUUGUGUUUCUGUGGUUAGAAAAUUACAUAACAAAUUCCCACUUGCAGUUAAUCAAACCCCAAUUUCUUGGCAACAUAGGAGGCCAAGGCUAAAGCUGUGAAAAGUUAUCAUUGCACCAAGUGCCCAAUUAAAUCCAUUGCAAAGGGGUAUCAAUCUCCUGGAAGAAUCAUCAAUAACCAAAUGGCCUCAAGGAGGCUACAACUUGGCUGGCACCUUGCAUGUUGAGCACGAGAUUCCUUAGCUUGGCAUAAACAUGCUGAGUUGACACAACUACUAAUGUCAAACAAACCCCUUAUUUGUUUGUUGGAUAAUUGAUUUCCAAUCUAAAUACCAAUAAACUACCACAGUCAAAACAAAUGAAAAACUCAUAAUCGCCUAUUAAUAUAAGAUAUACCACAAAUAUUUCUUGUCAUAAAUCCUUGCUUCCAACAACAUGACAAAGCCUAUAAAGACUAAGUAGAUCACAACAAGAUGCACAGCCAUAAGCGAUGAGCACCGCUCAGUUACUUCACACCUCUUUCAGUACGGACAAACACAGGAAACAAGCUAAGUGCUUGUAAAUAUUAAAAAAAAA
rnacentral:misc_RNA from 1 species